AUGCCGUCGUCGUCGCCGGCGAUGGCAACCCAGCCACCGCCGCGGCCACCGGCUCAGGAGCUCGACCUAGACGCCUUCCUCCCGUCGUCUCCCGCCUCCUCCUCAGCCUCCGACGCCGACGCCGAUCACCGCCGCGCCGUCGACGACCUGCUGCUCCUCCUCUCCUCCUCCGACUCCGAAGGCGACGACGAGCCAACCCGUACGCCCGCCACCAACCUCAAACCCCUAACCCGUAUCAAAGCCCCACCGCCGCCCCCUAAACCUUCUCCCCCAUCUCCUCUGCCAUCGCCUUCCGCUUCCCCCGGGAGAUCCACAUCCGCGUCGCCGUCGGCGACGCUCUCCUCCCUCGUCUCGAGAACCUUUUCGAGCAACGCUGCUUCCUCAUCCACCUCCUCGUCGAGGCCGCUCCCCUCGCUCUUCCGGGGUGUCCGCCCCAGCCCCAAGCCCGGCGCCGCCCUGGCCGCGGCGGCAGCCGCCUCCCGCGCCGUUCUCACCCCGCACGCGGCUGCAAUUAAGUCGCGGCGCACGGCCUCCGCGCCCAUCGAGAAGCUCCUCGACGAGGGCUCCGGCUCCGAAGCCUCGGAGGGGAUCCUUUCCACUGGAAAUUUCGAAGCAGAGAAAGUAGCUGAGAAGGUCAGUGAGGAAGUGGUUGCUAGGGUGACCGAGGAAGCUGUCGGUGGGAGUGGGGGUGAAGAAUUGGAAGAGGACAAGCAUGGGGAAGUGGGGACUGAAGAGAAUUCCGAGCCCUCCGAAUUGGUGAACCUAGGCAAUGUCGAUUCUGCUGCUGUGGAUGAGCAGGAGCAACUUGGGGGCGAGAAUUUAGCAGAAACAUAUCAAGUUGGGAGUCAAAUUGGGCUUGUUGAUGAAGAAAAUAGUGAUGAGCAACUUAGUGACGGAAAUUUGGCAGAAUCUGGUGAGAUUGUGGAUCAAGAUGGGUCAGUUUCCGAGGAAAAGACUGAUGAUGGUCUGGAAGUUGAACGUUCUGACACUGAUUUGGAAGAGCAACUGGAAUCUGAGCACAUCAUUGAUAAGGUGAUCGAAGAGAGGUUGGAGAUCAGCAGGUUGGCUGAAAAAAAUGCAGAGAAAAGGCCGAAGGUACCGAUGAAACCAUUGGAGCGGGCUGAGGAGCUUGAGAAGAGACAGGCCUCAUUUGGGCAGCACUGGGAGGAGGGAGCAGCAGCGCAACCCAUGCACCUGGAGGGGAUUGGGAAGGGGCAACCAGCUAUUGGUUACAUGCAGAUUGAUGUGGACAACCCAAUAACCCGUGCCAUGGCAUCUCCCUCUUUUAGACAGGACCAUGGCUCUCCUCAGGUCUUAGCAGUACAUAGGAGCUAUAUUGCCAUGGGCAUGUCCACUGGAUCUGUUAUCAUCGUCCCAAGCAAAUACUCCAUCCAUCAAGCUGAUGAUACAGAUGCAAAGAUGCUGUUCUUUUGGAACCAAGGUGAGAAAACCCAAUCACCAGUGACUGCCAUGUGCUUUAACCUGCAAGGGGAUCUUCUGCUAGUAGGAUAUGGUGAUGGUCAUAUGACAAUUUGGGAUGUACAGAAAGCUACUGCAGCAAAGGUCAUAUAUGGUGAGCAUACAGGAGCUGUAGUGCAUGUUUGUUUUAUCCGCCAAUCUAAAGUCAUCACUGGUGAUUCAAAAGGGCUUGUUCUUCUGCACACAUUCUCUAUUAUCCCCGUCAUUAAUCGCUUGACUGUUAAGGGAACUCAGCGCCUUUUUGAUGGAAACACUGGAAUCGUGCUCUCAGCCUGUCCUCUUCUAGCGGAUGAAUCCUUUGGUUCUGGCAACUCAUCUACGCAGGGCAACCUACCAACUUCCUCCAGUGGUGGUCUUGGGAGCAUGAUGGGAGGUGUAGUUGGAGUAGAUUCUGGAUGGAAGUUUUUCAAUGAAGGUUCUUCUCCAUUGGAGGAUGGUGUUACAGUCAUGUUCAUUAUGCAUCAACAUGCUCUUGUGGUUAGACUCCGUACCAACAUUGACCAUGUUGACCAUAUUGAGAACUUUUCUAGACCAGAAGGAGCACGCGAAGGGUCAAUUGCUUAUGCUGCAUGGAAAUACACAUCGUCCUCCACUGAUUCAUCGCCAAUUGAUGAAGAGCGAGUAUCUUGGCUUGCGCUUGCAUGGGACCGUCAAGUACAAGUUGCAAAACUUGUUAAAUCGAAGAUGAUCAGACAUAAGGACUGGAAGCUUGAUAGUGCCGCUGUUGGCAUUGCCUGGUUAAAUGAUCAGAUGUUAGCUGUCCUUAACUUGAAAGGGCAGCUCUGUUUGUUCUCAAAAGAUGGCAGUGAGCUUCGCAGGACUAUCUUUAUUCUUGAUGGUUUUGUCUUCGAUGACAGCAUACUGUACCAUACACAUUUUUCUAACAGGUUUGGCAACCCUGAGAGGCAUUUUAACAACUCAGUAGCAGUGAGAGGUGCUACAGUAUAUAUUCUUGGCCCAAGCUUUCUUACAGUUUCGCGACUUCUUCCAUGGAAAGAGCGGAUUGAAGCACUAAAGAUGGCUGGUGAUUGGAUGGGUGCACUGGACAUGGCAAUGAAGCUUUAUGACGGUCACACACAGGGUGUUGUUGAUCUUCCGAGAACAGUUGAUUCCAUAAGGGGAGCCAUAAUGCCUUAUUUAGUAGAGUUGCUGCUGUCAUAUAUAGGUUAUGUCUUUGAAUAUAUUUCAAUUGCAUUGUCAAAUCAUACUGGAAAGGGGGGAGCAAUAGAUGGCUUGAUAGAUGCCGAUAGAUCCCUGCUGACACAGAGAGAAGAACAAUAUGCUCGUGUAGGAGGGGUCGCAGUCGAGUUCUGUGUUCACAUUGGGCGGAAUGACAUCCUGUUUGAUACAGUCUUCUCUAAGUUUGUUGCUGCCCAAAGUGGAGGUAUAUUUCUGGAGGUACUAGAGCCAUAUAUAUUGAAAGAUAUGCUGGGUUCUUUACCCCCUGAGAUCAUGCAAGCUCUAGUAGAGCAUUAUAGUGGCAAAGGAUGGUUGCAGCGAGUCGAGCAAUGCAUUCUUCAUAUGGAUAUUUCAUCACUGGAUUUUAAUCAGGUAGUCAGACUGUGUCGUGAGCAUGGGUUAUAUGGUGCUCUAAUUUAUUUAUUUAACCAAGGGUUGAAUGAUUUCCGUACACCUCUAGAGGAACUUCUAUCUGUCAUCCAGAAUGCUACUCGAAAAGAUGCUACUUCUACUUGCUACAGAAUGCUUGUUUAUCUGAAGUAUUGCUUCCAGGGCCUAGCAUUUCCUCCAGGGCAUGGAACAAUUCCCCGAGCCCAGCUUCAUGCAGUGAGAAAAGAACUUCUGCAAUUCAUGCUCGAGGACUCUAAAAUGCUCACUUCUGAAGUAUUCAAGGGUUUUAGUUCUUCUUCUGGAAAAUGCCCAAACAUAUGCUAUCUAUUAUGGAUGGAUACGGAAGCUACUUUGGAAGUUGUCAAGUGUGCUUUUGCACAAGAGAAUUUUGAACCUACUUCUAGUACUCUUGAUGCAUCUGUAUCUAAGGAUGAAGAAGAUACUGAUAUUGAAAGCCCAGAUAGUCAAAAUAUUUUGUUACAAAGUGUAGUUGACACCAUCAUUCAUAUUGUUGGUUUAGAAAAUGAGGCAAUCCAUUCCGUUGUUGUGGGUACUGCUGAGUCAGAAGAAUCGGAACUUUGGCCUUCAGUGAGUGACUUCGGUCAUAUCAUUGAAUUCGUGUCCUUUUUUGUUUCCUAUAAAAGGGCAAAUGCAUCUCAAAGAGUUCUCAAGCACAUUCUUAAAUACCUCACGUCAUCCACUACAUCAUAUGAUGAUAAAAAGAUGCCACCUCAGAAAGAAGUUCUUCAGCUCUUCAACGUGGUUCCUCAAACUGACUGGAAUUCUGAUUAUGUGUUGAAUCUUUGUUUAGAUGCCCAUUUUCAUCAGGCCUGUGGCAUGAUAUAUACAGCCAGAAAUCAAAAUUUGGCUGCUUUAGAUAGUUACAUGAAGGAUACAAUGGAACCAUACCACGCAUUUAUCUUCAUCAACAAAAAGUUACUUCAAUUGGCAAGUGAUGAAGCUUUGUCGUUUCGUUCCACAGUAAUAUCUCGUUUUGCUGAGCUAGUCAAUCUAAGCAGGGAGUGUGCAUUUGUCUUGGUCAUUGAUCAUUUUCACGAUGAGAUCCAGCAAAUAUUGGCAGAGCUUCAUUCUGAUCACCGCAGCCUCUUUCUUUUCUUGAAAACUGCAAUCGAAGUACACUUGUCAGGAAAACUUGACUUCAGUGAACUUACUGCCAGAAACUAUGAAAUUGUUGAAAGUCUGUACUCUGGCGAUCUCGAAGAUUAUCUUCAGAGAUUAUCAAAUCUCCCAAAGUUGUUUGACCGCAAUCCUAUUUCUAUGACUGAUAAGUUAGUUGAACUCUAUCUGGAGCUUCUGUGUCAGUAUGAACCAAGGUCAGUUCUGAAGUUUCUGGAGACUUUCGAUAGCUACAGAUUGGAGAGGUGUUUGCUCCUUUGUCUAGAUUAUGGAGUUACAGAUGCUGCUGCAUUUCUGCAAGAGAGGGUUGGUGAUGUUGCGAGCGCGUUGGAACUUGUUCUAGCUGGACUAGAUGAGAAAGUUAACCAGUUUAUCGCUUCGGUGGAAAAUGCGUUCUCUCGGACAUCGUCAAAGAGUAUCUCUGAAAUUGAGCAACCAGACAUUGUUCUAAACAUGAGCGAGGCUCGUCCUGUGCUUGAUGUGUUACGUUCCUCCAUUGGAUUGUGCCAAAGGAAUUCACAGCGUUUAGAUCCAGAGGAGUCUCAGUUACUUUGGUUUCAACUGGUUGACAAUUUCUCAGAUCCACUGAAAAAGUUGUAUGGAAGCAAGGUUGUAAAUGGAAAAGGUUGUUGGUCCGUGGGUGGUGAAACAACAAAUGGACAUCCAACAGGCAAAGGAUUCUCACAAAAAAUGGUGAAUUCAGCUUAUCAAAGGUGUUUGAAUACUUUGCGGAGAGUUUUCUCACAAUUUGUUGGAGAGAUAAUUGAGGCAAUGGCUGGGUAUAUACCCCUGCCAGCAAUUAUGGCAAAGCUAUUAUCUGACAAUGGAAGUCAAGAGUUUGGUGAUUUUAAACUUGUCAUACAUAGAAUGCUGUCUAUGUAUCUCUACGAAAAAAGAAUACUGGAAACAGCUAAGUCAGUUAUCGAGGAUGAUUCGUUCUAUACCUUGAGCUUAUUAAAGAGAGGGGUUUGUCAUGGAUUUGCUCCACAGACUUUUGUUUGUUGUGUAUGCAACUGCUCACUUUCUAAAGAAGGUGCUAUUUCAGCAGUUCGAGUAUUCAGUUGUGGACAUGCAACACAUCUUCACUGUGAGUCUGAACAAAGCAAAUCAUCCAAUAAGGAUUUUAAAGAUGGAUGUCCAGUUUGUCUCUCAAUGAGUGACACACAAGCCCGGAACAAAUCGCCUAUAUUAGCUGAGAAUGGGCUACCCAAGUAUCCCGUGGUUGAACAUGAAGUACCAUAUGGCGUCCAUCAUAAUCACGAGACAGAUCAUGUUGAGAGAUCUCGUGGGCUUCACCAGAUGUCACGGUUUGAAAUACUGAACAAUCUCCAGAAAGGUCAGAAGUCUUUUCAUAUUGAGACUGUACCCCCAUUGAAACUUUCUCCGCCAGCCAUAUAUCAUGAAAAGAUACAAAAGAGAGUAAGUUUGGUGGGAGAAUCCAGCAGACAUUCAGUUAGAAGUGGAAAACCACAGAAAAUAUGGCACAUGAAGGAGCCAAAAUCAAAGAAAUCAGGGAAUUGGCUUCCACCAAAGUCAAGCAUAUUCAGUUCUGACAAGAAUCAAGUGCAGUAG
rnacentral:rRNA from 1 species